rnacentral:rRNA from 1 species
GACGAACGCUGGCGGCGUGCUUAACACAUGCAAGUCGAACGGAAAGGCUCCAGCUUGCUGGAGUACUCGAGUGGCGAACGGGUGAGUAACACGUGGGUAAUCUGCCCUGCACUCUGGGAUAAGCCUGGGAAACUGGGUCUAAUACUGGAUAUGACCUUUCUCCUUAUGGGGUUUGGUGGAAAGUUUUUCGGUGUAGGAUGAGCCCGCGGCCUAUCAGCUUGUUGGUGGGGUGAUGGCCUACCAAGGCGACGACGGGUAGCCGGACUGAGAGGGUGAUCGGGCACAGUGGGACUGAGAUAGGGCCAAGACUCCUACGGGAGGGAGCAGUGGGGGAGAGUGAAAAAUGGGCGGAAGCCUGAUGCAGCGACGCCGAGUGAGGGAUGACGGCCAUCGGGUUGUAAACCUCUUUCAGCAGGGACGAAGCGUAAGUGACGGUACCUGCAGGAGAAGCACCGGCUAACUAUGUG